AGCGAACGCUGGCGGCAGGCUUAACACAUGCAAGUCGAGCGGGCGUAGCAAUACGUCAGCGGCAGACGGGUGAGUAACGCGUGGGAACAUACCUUUUGGUUCGGAACAACACAGGGAAACUUGUGCUAAUACCGGAUAAGCCCUUACGGGGAAAGAUUUAUCGCCGAAAGAUUGGCCCGCGUCUGAUUAGCUAGUUGGUGAGGUAAUGGCUCACCAAGGCGACGAUCAGUAGCGGUCUGAGAGGAUGAUCAGCCACAUUGGGACUGAGACACGGCCCAAACUCCUACGGGAGGCAGCAGUGGGGAAUAUUGGACAAUAGGCGCAAGCCUGAUCCAGCCAUGCCGCGUGAGUGAUGAAGG
rnacentral:rRNA from 1 species